AGCUUUAUCCAAAGAGGCAGAAGCCUGAUCAGUUACUCUGGGGACUGGCCUAGGAGUUUGGCCAUCUUCUAAAGAGUUUGAACCUACUGAAGAACUGUCUUGACUAUCUGGAUGGGGGAGUUGAAGAAAUCCUUCACUGGAGUCUGAGCAGGUGAGCUCAUAUUGAACUUUUAAGUCUCAGAUCAAGCAACCAUCUUUGUAAAGUCCUCCUUGCCUCUCCCAGACUAAGGAUUUUGGAAAUGUUACCUUCUGCAGAAUCCAUACUACUCCGAAGUUCUUCUACAGUUUUUGUCAAACUCUGGUUUUCCAUUUCUAAUUUCAAUAACCUACUUGCUGUCAAUUCAUUCACCUCAUGGCCCAAAGAUUUUUGUGGUGCUAAAAUAUUGAAAAAUAUAUUAUUGGUAAAUCUGUG